rnacentral:rRNA from 1 species
GUAACCUACGGGAGGCAGCAGUGAGGAAUAUUGGUCAAUGGGCGGAAGCCUGAACCAGCCAAGUAGCGUGAGGGAAUAAGGCCCUACGGGUCGUAAACCUCUUUUGCCGGGGAGCAAGGGCGGGGACGUGUCCCGGCCCGGAGAGUACCCGGAGAAAAAGCAUCGGCUAACUCCGUGCCAGCAGCCGCGGUAAUACGUAGGAUGCGGGCGAUAUCCGGAUUUAUUGGGUUUAAAGGGGGCGU